AUACUCUGGUUUCUCUUCAUAACGUAUAAAUCUUUCGCCUUUUACUAAAGAUUUCCGUGGAGAGGAACUAAUUUCGAGUCUUAACUCUAAUUUUUGAAGGCCUUGUGUUAACAAGGCU
rnacentral:snRNA from 1 species